rnacentral:rRNA from 1 species
GAUGAACGCUGGCGGCGUGCUUAAUACAUGCAAGUCGAGCGGACAGGCGCGGAUCUUGCUCGUUUCUCGUUUGGCGCAGGCGGGUGUAUCACAUGAGUAACCUGCACUUAUAAGUGUGGGAUCUUCUCGGGACUCGGGCGAAAACCCCGUAUAAUAUCCUGAAGCAUAUUGUUGAAUGGUGAAAGACGGCUUUGCUGUAUCUUCUCGCUGCAUCCGCGCCGCAUUAGCUAGUUGGUAAGGUAACGGCUUUCCACGGCUACGAUGCGUGGCCGAGCUGAGAGGGUGAUCGGCCACACUGGAACUGAGACACGGUCCAGACUCCUACGGGAGGCAGCAGUAGGGAAUCUUCCGCAAUGGGCGAAAGCCUGACGGAGCAACGCCGCGUGAGUGAUGAAGGUCUUCGGAUCGUAAAACUCUGUUAUUAGGGAAGAACAAAUGUGUAAGUAACUAUGCACGUCUUGACGGUACCUAAUCAGAAAGCCACGGCUAACUACGUG